rnacentral:lncRNA from 1 species
UUCUUUGCUGAAUUUUGUAUAUCUCUGGUGAACCCAAUUAUUAGUUCCGUAAUUGGAUCAUUCACUUGUUUAGAACCUAUAUAGAUUAUUUACAGACUUAAGCACCAAGGUAAGGUAAGGAAAAUUAGCUAAUUGCUAUUUAUUGAACAAGAGAGAGGGUGAGUCAGUCUGUUAUAACCUCGUAUGCAAUCAAAUUGUUUCAUAGAUACUAGGAUUGAUUAAUUCUGAUUUGGUCUUUCUAUUUUUGAAUUUCAUCUUCUGAGUUUUAUAUUAAAUGGUGAAAUUCAUAUGGUAAUAGUUGAUUUAUUUAGGAUAGCUGGAAAUUAAUAAUUAAUAGAAUAAAGCUCCUUGCACAGAUCCAUUUGCACAAGGUCUGCAUAGGGGCUCUCACAUGGGAGUGGACUGUACCUCAUGUGUGGGGUCCACCCCCAUGUGUGUGUAUCUGUAUAGACCCUUGCAAAUGGGUCUGUGCAAAUAGCACAACUCUAGUUAAUAUUAGAAGCAAAAAUGGCCAGGGAGAGGGAGGUUAUUUUAUUAUUUAUUAUGAUAUGAAAAUUGUGCUUGGAAAAAUACAAAAAGAAAUGAGAAAUACUACUAUUAUAAUAAACAGAGUAACAAUAAAAGAGAGAAAAUCUGGUUGUUGAUGUAGCAGCGGUAUUGAAAAGAAUCGAGGCUUUGUUGCACAUAUUUUCCUUUAAACAUAUCCCCCUCCGUUGUGCAAAAGUACUAAUGGCGCCUGUAUCCCAAAAUACAACGGUGUUGAAAGUAAGUGAAUUGAGAAUGUUCACAAUUCUAUCAUCGAGUUAGAACAAAAAAAUAUUUAAGUUACUAAGAACAAGACUCUUGAAACAAAAAGGUAAGAGAGAAAAUUAGAGAAAUGAGAGAACCCUUAAAUUUUGGUGUAUGAAAUAAGGAGGC